rnacentral:lncRNA from 1 species
AUUUGUGUCUGCUGUGAAUGCAAGGGGUGUGUUCCACCAGAAAGCAGCCCUAGCGAAUGGAUAAUAUGCUCAUUCAUUUGCUAUGUUGGUCUAAGGUAACCACAAAGGCCGAGAGCUUGUACCGUGCCAGGUACUCUGAGCAGCACACUAAGAUAACAUUACCUGGCCUUGGUCCCAGAGAAUGACUUUUCCCAGAGUCAAAUUGACCAAGCUUUUAUUAUAUUACAAGAUCUUACUCUGCACCAAUUUGGGUUCAUUGAAGAAGUACAUCUUGGAAACUUAUUUAGCACCUCAGGUUUAAAAAUUCAGUAGUAAUAAACUAAAUAUUCUCUUAUUAUUUUUUAAAACUCUAGCCUUGAAACUCCUGGUUGUGACAUCUGCUGUGGUACAACACCAGCUCCAGAUGUAGCUGCAACCCACAGAACAAUACACCAUGACCAUUGAGAUACCUGCACAUGCAACAAGGAGUCCAGCACACUUGACCAGCCAAGCUCCCGCAUCUGAGGCAGGAACUGUCCUGAUCAGAUUUCUUGUAAGGAUGAAUCCAAGUAAAAUUACAGUUAAAUCAAAUGUAGAUGCCUGGGAAGACGUAAUGGAUUUCCUUUGUGGGGAGGAGUAACACUGAAACAACCUGUAUAUCUUGCAAUAAUAAAACUAGUUGUAAAAUAUUUUUAAACAAGGUAUGUGAACUCAAGCACAACAGCCACAGAACUUCCCUUGGCAAAAAGUGGGAGCUAUAGGAGGCAAAAAAGAGCAAUUGUUUUUGUUGCUGCCAUGAAGUGAUGCUAAAGAACAUGAUGCUGCCACCCACCAUAGCCUCCUUACUUUUUGAAAUCAAGAGUUUAGGAAGGGGCAACAGAGAUUAUGCCAGGCCAUAGGUUGACUUAAGACCCAGCCCAAACAAGAGAAUACUCACGGGGAGGGGGAUUUAGGGAUAGGCAUGAUACGAGAAGAUACAAUGUAAACUUUGCUGACUUUCAGUAGGUCUCAUUCUGCACAACUCCCAACCUUCAACCUUUCAUUCUAAGAAGGGCAACCAACCAUACAAAUAUGGGGAGUAAAGAAAUUCUGCUUCUAAGUUGAUUUUUAAGAAGGUAAACUGGCAGUAUGAGGCAAAAUGCACAAAAAGAAACCAGAAAAAAACCCCAGCCAACAGGAGACAUGAACAUACUUUGGCUAUGUGAGGGGUUGGCAGCCUAACUGCAUGUGACAGGAUGCUCCCAAAUCUGCAGCCAGCCAGCCAUUUUCAUAGUGCUUGGGAUGUUUCUUUUAUAGCCGAACAACCUGCCACACAUAACACACAACAAGCUGGCAAAGCCCAUCUAUAAUAUGCUUCCUCCAGUCCUUCAACCUGCUAAAAGGUGCUGUGGUCACCCCAAACCUAUACUCAGCUGUGGCAUCUUUUCUUACCACUAUCCUGGGCAAUGAGAUGUCAAGGCUAGACAUGUUCCCUGACCAUAGUCAAACUACUGAGCUCUACUGUGCU